rnacentral:rRNA from 1 species
GACGAACGCUGGCGGCGUGCUUAACACAUGCAAGUCGAACGGAAAGGCCCUGCUUUUGUGGGGUGCUCGAGUGGCGAACGGGUGAGUAACACGUGAGUAACCUGCCCUUGACUUUGGGAUAACUUCAGGAAACUGGGGCUAAUAACGGAUAGGAGCUCCUGCUGCAUGGUGGGGGUUGGAAAGUUUCGGCGGUUGGGGAUGGACUCGCGGCUUAUCAGCUUGUUGGUGGGGUAGUGGCUUACCAAGGCUUUGACGGGUAGCCGGCCUGAGAGGGUGACCGGCCACAUUGGGACUGAGAUACGGCCCAGACUCCUACGGGAGGCAGCAGUGGGGAAUAGUGCACAAUGGGCGGAAGCCUGAUGCAGCAACGCCGCGUGCGGGAUGACGGCCUUCGGGUUGUAAACCGCUUUCGCCUGUGACGAAGCGUGAGUGACGGUAAUGGGUAAAGAAGCACCGGCUAACUACGUG